CGCUUUCACUCCUACGGGAGGCAGCAGUGGGGAAUAUUGCACAAUGGGCGCAAGCCUGAUGCAGCCAUGCCGCGUGUGUGAAGAAGGCCUUCGGGUUGUAAAGCACUUUCAGCAGUGAGGAAGGCGGAGUCGUUAAUAGCGGCCUCGUUUGACGUUAGCUGCAGAAGAAGCACCGGCUAACUCCGUGCCAGCAGCCGCGGUAAUACGGAGGGUGCGAGCGUUAAUCGGAAUUACUGGGCGUAAAGCGCAUGCAGGCGGCCUGUUAAGUCAGAUGUGAAAGCCCGGGGCUUAACCUCGGAAUUGCAUUUGAAACUGGCAGGCUAGAGUCUUGUAGAGGGGGUAGAAUUUCAGGUGUAGCGGUGAAAUGCGUAGAGAUCUGAAGGAAUACCAGUGGCGAAGGCGGCCCCCUGGACAAAGACUGACGCUCAGAUGCGAAAGCGUGGGGAGCAAACAGGAUUAGAUACCCUGGUAG
rnacentral:rRNA from 1 species